rnacentral:rRNA from 1 species
CCCUGCCAUUUGUACACACCGCCCGUUGCACCUACCGAUUGAAUGGUCCGGUGAAGCCUCGGGAUUGUGACCAGUGCCUUUACUGGUGUUGGUUGCAAGAACUUGUCUAAACCUUAUCAUUUAGAGGA